rnacentral:rRNA from 1 species
AUACGGGUUGCACCAGUGGGGAAUAUUGCACAAUGGGCGCAAGCCUGAUGCAGCCAUGCCGCGUGUAUGAGGAAGGCCUUCGGGUUGUAAAGUACUUUCAGCGGGGAGGAAGGGAGUAAAGUUAAUACCUUUGCUCAUUGACGUUACCCGCAGAAGAAGCACCGGCUAACUCCGUGCCAGCAGCCGCGGUAAUACGGAGGGUGCAAGCGUUAAUCGGAAUUACUGGGCGUAAAGCGCACGCAGGCGGUUUGUUAAGUCAGAUGUGAAAUCCCCGGGCUCAACCUGGGAACUGCAUCUGAUACUGGCAAGCUUGAGUCUCGUAGAGGGGGGUAGAAUUCCAGGUGUAGCGGUGAAAUGCGUAGAGAUCUGGAGGAAUACCGGUGGCGAAGGCGGCCCCCUGGACGAAGACUGACGCUCAGGUGCGAAAGCGUGGGGAGCAAACAGGAUUAGAUACCCCCGUAGUC